GCGAUCAUACAAGGACUAAUGCACCGGAUCCCAUCAAAACUCUGAAGUUAAGCGUGCUUGUCCGAGAGUAGUACUAGGAUGGGUGACCCCCUGGGAAGUCCUCGUGUUGCACCCC
rnacentral:rRNA from 1 species